AACGAGACCACAAAGCCGACGAGAUUCUCGCAGGAACAUCUGAUGCGCACCAUCAUCGUUCAUCACCUUACGUCUAUGCCGCUGUCGGUUGGCCACAACAAUGUGAGGUACAUGUGAUAAUCAACUAAACAGUUGCAACUUUUGGAUUCUUUCAAUGCACAAUAUUCUCAAACCCUUUCAGGGUCCAUAAAAAAAUGUUUGGUAGUAGUGGAAUUUUAAUUUUGAGUUAAACACAAAUUAAUUGUAGCCCCACAAUAAGUUUGAAUAAGAAGCUAAAGAAAACAACUGAACUGAUAGACUGGAAGGCCCAGUUGCUAUAACAUAUCUAUAAAGCUGGGAGACAGCAGCAAGAUGCUGUCCUUUACAGACAUUGAUUCACUGACCAGUGUGAGGAGGAGUCUGGUCCCUCAGACGUCUUAAUGAAGGCACUGCUCUGGCUGAGAACUGAGACUGAGUCCUAAAAGGCGGACAAGUGCGGCACUGUCUCCUCCUGCUGUUGGGUAGCCUUUAUAUUCUGUGUAGUAGGAUCUCCCUAUUGCCCCCUAAAGCCUCAAGAUGGGCCCAUUCUUAGACUUCAACCCUUUUGAUAACCUGCUGUGCAUUCUCUUGGGCAUCUCCUUUACUGUGUGGUUCACCCUACUGCUCGUCUUCAUCAUCGUGCCUGCCAUCUUUGGAGUGUCCUUUGGCAUUCGCCGGCUCUACAUGAAAACCUUACUGAAGAUCUUUGAGUGGGCCACGCAUAGAAUUGAAAGAGGAGCCAAGGACAACAACCAUCUCUUGUACAAGCCCUACUCGAAUGCCAUCAUUGCCAAAGAGCCCACCUCUCUGGAGGAGGAGAUUAAUGAGAUCCGGCGCCGCGGCAGUAACCGGGACCUGGACUCCGCUUCUGCGUUUGAGAUGUCUGACAUCUUCUACUUCUGCCGGCGAGGAGUGGAGAGUAUCAUGGACGACGAGGUGACCAAGAGGUUUUCUGCUGAGGAGCUGGAGUCAUGGAACCUGCUGACCCGUAGCAACUAUAACUUCCAGCACAUCAGCCUGAGGCUGACGGUCCUGUGGGGGCUGGGGGUGGUGAUCCGCUACGGCUUCCUGCUGCCUCUCAGAGUAACUCUUGCCUUCACUGGGGUGGGUCUUCUCGUCGUUCUCACAUCCAUCAUCGGGUUUCUUCCAAAUGGGAGGAUGAAGAACUUCCUCAGUGAGCAGGUGCAUCUGAUGUGUUACCGUAUCUGUGUCAGAGCGCUCACUGCCAUCAUCACCUACCACGACAGUGAAAACAAGCCCAAGAAUGGAGGGAUCUGUGUGGCCAACCACACCUCACCCAUCGACGUCAUCAUCUUGGCCAGUGAUGGCUGCUAUGCAAUGGUUGGGCAAAUCCAUGGUGGUUUGAUGGGCGUAAUCCAGAAGUCUAUGGUGAAAGCCUGUCCACACAUUUGGUUUGAACGCUCUGAAGUCAAAGACCGACAUCUAGUGGCCAAAAGAUUGAGUGAUCAUGUAGAAGACACGACUAAACUGCCUAUUCUCAUUUUCCCCGAAGGCACCUGCAUCAACAACACUUCAGUAAUGAUGUUUAAAAAAGGCAGCUUUGAGAUUGGCUCCACAGUCUACCCUGUGGCCAUCAAGUACGACCCCCGCUUUGGAGAUGCCUUCUGGAACAGCAGCCAGUUUGGGAUGGUCAACUACCUGCUGAGGAUGAUGAGCAGCUGGGCCAUUGUGUGCAGUGUGUGGUACCUGCCACCCAUGACCAGAGAGGAAGGAGAGGAUGCAGUCCAGUUUGCCAGUCGGGUCAAAGCAGCUAUCGCCAGGCAAGGAGGGCUGGUGGACUUGCUGUGGGACGGCGGUUUAAAGCGAGGGAAAGUAAAAGAUGCAUUCAAAGAGGAGCAACAAAAGUUAUACAGCAAAAUGCUAGUGGGAACCCAAGAGGACCGCAGUCGUUCUUGAAGUCAAACGUACAGAGUAUGAGAUGAUCAGAGACCCACUUGUGGACAACAGAAUGGACUUCCUUCUGCACCCUUAAGGAUUUUUUUGACCUGGAAUACUCCAACCCUCAUGUCAGGAAUUCUUCACUUGGCUUCCUCGGUCAGUGCCUCAGCUUGGCAUAUUAAGUUCUUAUUGCUGUUACAGCCCAUUCUGGGCACUGUCCUCUGUAUCUAAUGAUUUGACAAUGGACUGGCCUCUAGUGCACCAGCCUGUCAUGAUGCUGCACACUAAGAGUUCUCACCAUCAGGGAAGAUAACACACUGUCUUUUGAGUGACUAAUAUAUUUAUGACCUUCAUUGAGUUAAUGUAUAUGUUUUGUUUUUAUCCUGUCUCUCUGUUUAUUGUUAAUAGUAUUAUGACAGUUAUCAUAUUUGUUUUUUAAGUUACAAGUGAUCUGCCAGGGGACGUAGCAGUGCAGCAUAGAGAAGUAUUGGAGAGCUUGUACUGAAGGGGAAAUCUGUGACCAUGUUGUUCCCAACAGACUGAUAUGGCAAGUAUACAAGAAUACACACUUGGACAAGCUUGUUGAAAAGAGUGGCCUUUGUCCGCUGGAACCCCUAAGACGAAGGAUUCCAUCAGAAUUCAAAGCAUGAAGCUGGCAUUCAGGUAAGGAAGGUGGCCGGCUGUGGGCCUGCUGGCUACAUUUUACCCUGUACCAGGUUCCUUUCAAUAUUUUGUUGGCUGCCUGACUGAUAUUGCUUUGUGUUAUUGAUGCUUCACAGUAGUGUUAUUCAAGUAUUCCUGUUUCUGAAUGUCGUCCAAAAAACGGAAAUGUUGCUAUAGUAAUGGUUGAUGGGGUUGAAUAAAUCAUUUAUAUGUGGGGAUCAUUUCAAGUUCCUUUAAAGAAAGGUAUUCACGUACUGGGGGUACACCAAAUAAAAAUGUGAUCCACAUUAAAAACAUUUUUUUACAUUUUUAUAUUUUCCAACGUGGCUAUACAUUUGGGUUGAGUUUUUUUCCCCUUGCCUGAGUAGCCUCGUUUCACUGCUAAAAAUACAAUUAAACCAUCUAGUGUUAAGCGAAAUAACGUCAAAUAUAGGUAGCCUAGUCAAAUAAUUAACAUCCAGUCACAUUAACUGUUACUCUCUUGCGGGAAUUCCACAUACUCUGUAUGUAGCCAAACAUAGCUGCUGCUCAUGUUGGUAUCUGUACUGAUGGCGCAAAAGCCAUGACAGGGAGACGGAGUGGUAACGCUCGUGCAAGCAGUUGCUCCCGACACCACUUGGGUACACUGCAGCAUCCGAGAGGCUCUUGCUGCCAAGGGAAUGCCUGACAGCUUGAAAGACGUUUUGGACACGAGUAAAAAUGGUUAACUUUGUUAAAGCAAGGCCCCUGAACUAUUGUGUAUUUUCUGCACUGUGCAAUGAUAUGGGCAGCGACCAUGUAACGCUUUUACAACAUACAGAAGUGUACUGGUUAUCAAGGGGCAAAGUAUUGAUACUUUUUUAAAUUGAGACAAGCUUUGUUUUUACUGACAAUAAUUUUCACUUGUCUGACCGCUUGCAUGAUGAGUUUUAUACGACUAGCCUAUCUGGGUGAUGUUAUUUUUCUCCCAAAUGAUCUAAAUCUAGGAUUACAGGGACUCUCCGCAACUAUAUUCAGUGUGCGGGACAAAAUUGAGGCUGUGAUUAAGAUGUUGGAGCUCUUCUGUCUGCAUUAACAAGGACAACACACAGGUCUCUAUCAUUGUAUGAUUUUGUGUGCGAAUGAACUCAAGCUUAUGGACAAUGUGAUGGGUGCUUCGCUAUGAGUGAGUUGGGUGCGCAAUUACGCAGGUACUUUCCAGAAACCGAUGACACAAACAACUGGAUUCGUUAUCCCUUUUCGUAGUCUGCCUCUAGUCCCCUUACCGAUAUCUGAACGAGAGCCUCAUCGAAAUUGCAACAAGCGGUUCUAUGAAAAUGUAAUUUAAUCAGAAGACACGGACAGAUUUCUGGAUUUGGGCUGCAUUCAGAGUAUCCUGCCUUGGCAAAUCGCUCUGUUAAGACGUUGAUGCCAUUUGCAACCACGUACCUAUGCGAGUGUGGAUUCUCAGCCCUCACUAGCAUGAAAACUGAAUACAGGCAAAGACUGUGGAAAAUGAUUUGACUGACACUCUCUCCAAUACAACCCAACAUUGCAGAGUUAUGUGCAUCCUUUCAAGCACACCCUUCUCAUUAACAAUUUUCGAUAAACAAAUAAGGUUUUAUAUAGAAGAUGGUUAAAUAAUGAGGAAAAUUAUUGAUGAAUAUUAUUGUUGUAUAUUUUCCCAAAUUAUGUUCGGUUUUAUUUUUUACUGAAAUUACAAUUGCCCAAGGAGAAAGAGCAAAAUUGGAUGUUCUGAGUACAUGUUUAGACAUUUUUUUUUAGGUCUGGAAGAAAACGAACCUUUUCAUUCUUGAGUAUAAUUGCGCAUCUAGCGAGUGAGAAAUGUGCCAUCUAAUGUUCAGGUCUAAUGAUGGUUCUGUACUGCUGCUGCUCAUUUCCUGGCAAAGCUAGAAAAUAACAAAUACUAGAUACAAAUGAUAUACUUCUGCCAGGUAAGCCAACUUUGCAGUUAACAUUUAGUUUUUGGUAAAGUAUUUCUGUCAAUCAACAAGACGGUUAUCACAUCAACUGGCUACACAAGAAGUGAUGGACAAACGCAUGCACCACAGACAGACGGGCAAUACUGCUGGAAAUGAAUUGCCAGAUAUUAUGUUACGUUUGGCUUUUUAAGCCAUUAGUGGCUAACCAGGGGUGGGUUAAUGUCAAUGUUGCCUUGAUUAGAUAGUAGCUGGGAGCGUGCAGUGUCUAAUAUUUGUGAGAUUUAUGAUAGUUUGCAGUGGAACACGUGAGAAUUGCAUGUAGUGUACUUUCAGAAUUGUUUGGCGAGUUACUCAUGAGUGUGCUGGUAGCUCACGAUCGACUUGUUGUGGAGACCCCUGGUCCAAGGUGUCUGGGAUGAGUGUGUUGAUGUGAGCCAAGACGAGCCUUUUCAAAGCAUUUCAUGGCUACAGAUGUGAGUGCUAUGGGGCGAUAGUCAUUUAGACAGGUUACCUUGUCAUUCUUGGGCACAGGGACUAUGGUGGUCUGUUUGAAACAUGUAUACGUCCUGGUAAUCCGUCUGGCCUUGCGUCCUUGGGAAUGUUAACCUGUUUUAAAGUUCUUACUCACAUCACCUAUGGAGAGUGAUCACAGUCGUCCGGAACUGCUGGUGCUCUCAUGCAUGGUUCAGUGUUGCUAGCCUCCAAGCGAGCAUAGAAGGCGUUUAGCUCGUCUGGUACGCUCGCGUCACUGGGCAGUGCUCAUGGCUGGGGUUCUCUUUGUAAUCUGUGAUAGUUUGCAAGCCCUGCCACAUCCGACGACCGUCAGAGCCGGUGUAGUAGGAUUUGAUCUUAGUCCUGUAUUGAUGCUUUGCCUGUUUUUCAGAGUAUCUUAAAAGUGUCGCAAUAGGCUAUGGUGUAGUUGGCACUUUCUCUUCCAAUUAUAAUUUAGGAUGUCAAAAUAAUGAUUACUUCUCCUUUCCAUUAUCAAUCAUCUAAUGAAAAGAUAAGUGUGCUAACGUACGAUGGUUUGGCUUGGAGGGGGUCCCUGUUCUAUAUCGAUUCAUUAUCUGGCCAUGCACUCAGUGACAUGUUGUCCAGUCAGGACUCUUUCAGCCAGGGUAAAUUAUUGCCAGUGAUUCUGCUGAGACCCCAUCCAGUACUCAGGUGGCAUCCCAACAGUGAGGAACUGCCUCAGCAGCCUUUCAGGGGAAUUUCCCUUUUAGGUGGCUUUGUUUCCACUGCUGAUGGACAGGGCAGCAUUAUGUUCUGCCUCUGUGUGAUGCAAUGGCUUCAAAUGGAUCCAUUGACCAGCAUGCAAUACACAGAUGAGCAAGAGGAAGCAGUAUGAAAACCUCAAACCAUGGCAUGGUUUACACAACCAACCUUUAUCAACUCGUUGCAAGCACUAUGGAGAAGAUGUUUUCGGCCCUUGCACCCUUUCAGUGCUUUACUAUUUUGACUUUUUCUGCGCAAAUUCAGACUGAGGCAAGUUCAAGACCAAAAUAAUGGUUGCAACCCCACUUGGAAGAAAAAUACAUGGUUAGGAACUGUAAAAGCAACUUUUUGUACAAUGUACUGCAUUUAAUAAAGAUAGUGCUUCUGCUGAGAGCUUCACCUAAUCCUUGAAUUAUCUGGCCUAUUCACCACAAGGUUAAACAUUUAUCCGACCUUCCCCAUAGGCCUAUGCCAUUUUUAUACGCUUCCUUAGGUCUGACCGGAUUAUUCAACAGCUCACCAUAAUAAGUGGGGUGUUGUUUAUCCUGUUAUCAAGUAAGCCCAAUAGAGUAGGCUGUGAGGUCUAUGAAAACAUGCGGGAGGGGCAGAAUUCUGCUCUUUCACAAUAUCAGUGUAUCACUCAAGAAUGUGGCUGUUUUAGUGCAGAACUGUCAAUGUAGUGUCUGCUCAAAGAUCAUAGCAUAGUGUAAAGCUAAAAUGGAUCAUAUUCAGUCAAAACCCUUUAAAAACGUAAUAUUUCUGUCUUGUCAGGCAUGGUGGCAGAAAGUGGUGGGAACAUGUCCAAAUGGAGCUAGUCACGAAUAAAAGGAUGGUGAGAUGAGCUCAAUCCAAUUAAAAUCACACCGCUCUGCUCUUUGUGUUUCCAUCAUUGAAAAUAGUCAACCAGUUAUGUUUUACAACAACAGUGUCUGAGUUUGAUGGAUUAUUUAAAUCAGGAAACGGCAUCUGGUCUUUCAUCUUCUAUUCUUUGAACAUUUUGCCUAGAUUCAGCAGAUGGCAAACUGUUGCCAGGCCACUGAUGAUAACAGAUUGUGAAUCAUGUUCAAUCUCUCUAAAUUAAUAGGCUACAUGAUUCUCUGCCUCUAACCCUAUUACAGGGGCUAAGUCACUGGCUUACUGGUGCUCUUCCAUGCUGUCCCUAGGAGGGGUGCGUCGCUUGAGUGGGUUGAGUCGCUGACGUGAUCUUCCUGUUUGGGUUGGCGCCCCCCCCCCCCCCUUGGGUUGUGCUGUGGCGGAGAGCUUUGUGGGCUAUACUCAGCCUUGUCUCAGGAUGGUAAGUUGGUGGUUGAAGAUAUCCCUCUAGUGGUGUGGGUGGGGUUAUAUCCUGCCUGUUUGGCCCUGUCCGGGGGUAUCAUCGGAUGGGGCCACAGUGUCUCCUGACCCCUCCUGUCUCAGCCUCCAGUAUUUAUGCUGCAGUAAUUUGUGUCGGGGGGCUAGGGUCAGUUUGUUAUAUCUGGAGUAUUUCUCCUGUCUGAUCCGGUGUCCUGUGUGAAUUUAAGUAUGCUCUCUCUAAUUCUCUCUCUCUUUCUCUCUCUCGGAGGACCUGAGCCCUAGGACCAUGCCUCAGGACUACCUGGCAUGAUGACUCCUUGCUGUCCCCAGUCCACCUGGCCGUGCUGCUGCUCCAGUUUCAACUGUUCUGCCUGCGGCUAUGGAACCCUGACCUGUUCACCGGACGUGCAACCUGUCCCAGACCGGCUGUUUUCUAAUCUCUAAAGACCGCAGGAGCGGUAGAGAUACUCUGAAUGAUCGGCUACGAAAAGCCAACUGCCAUUUACUCCUGAGGUUCUGACUUGUUGCACCCACGACAACUACCGUGAUUAUUAUUAUUUGACCAUGCUGGUCAUUUAUGAACAUUUGAACAUCUUGGCCAUGUUCUGUUAUAAUCUCCACCCGGCACAGCCAGAAGAGGGCUGGCCACCCCUCAUAGCCUGGUUCCUCUCUAGGUUUCUUCCUAGGUUUUGGCCUUUCUAGGGAGUUUUUCCUAGCCACCGUGCUUCUGUACCUGUAUUGCUUGCUGUUUGGGGUUUUAGGCUGGGUUUCUGUACAGCACUUUAAGAUAUCAGCUGAUGUAAGAAGGGUUCUUUAAAUACAUUUGAUUUGAUUUUGAUUUGAUGUAUUUUAAUGUUGCUUAAUUGUUUAUUUGUUAAUUUAUUUGUGAAGUAGCUUAAUAUUUGGUUUUUGAUGGGCCCAACCAUUCAUAAUAAUUUCUCCCGGUCUCAGACAUACACGUGUGGGUUAUCUGUUAAUGGGGUAACCUAAUAGGCUACUAGCUGUAUAAAUGCUACUACUAGCCUACUGUUUUUAGGGUCUGGAUGUGGUUUUAGUAAAACUUGACUAAGAAAAAAGGUAGGCAUUAAAGUCCACUCCACUCACUGGGUACAGACAUCAAUUCAGCGUCUAUUUCACGUAAAUUCAAUGUAAUUUCGUGGAAACAACGUUGUUUCAAAACACCGCCUGCGGAAAAGAGGUAAUCUGAGUGGACUUUUAGUCCGACUCAGGAGGUGCGCACAACAUCCACCGCUUCAGAGAAAAUUACUCGCUAAUGUUCAAAACUGGAUAAUAAAAGGGCAGGGGUGUAUGUUUCAUGAUUAACUACUCAUGGUUUGAUUGUGAUAACAUACAGGAACUUAAGUCCUUUUGUUCACCCGACCUAGUAUACCUCAUUCAAAUGCAGACCGUAUUACCUCCCAAGAGAAUUCUCUUCGGUUAUAGUCACAGCCAUGUAUAUUCCCACUCAAACAGAUACCACGACAGCCCUCAAAGAACUUCACUGGACUUUAUGCAAACUUGAAACCACAUAUCCUGAGGCUGCAUUUAUUGUAGCUGGGGAUUUUAACAAAGCAAAUUUGAGGAAAAUGUUACCGUAGUUCUAACAACACAUUGACUGUAGUACUUGCGCUGCUAAAACACUCGACCUGCUGAAACACUUGACCACUGCUACUCCAGCUUCCAGGAUGCCUACAAGGCCCUCCCUUUGGCAAAUCAGAUCACAACUCAAUUUUGCUCCUCCCUUCCUAUAGGCAGAAACUCAAACAGGAAGUACCCGUGCUAAGGACUAUUCAACACUGGUCUAACCAAUCGGAAUCCACGCUUCAAGAUUGUUUUGAUAACGCGGAGUGGAAUAUGUUCUGUGUU